UUUGAACGCUGGCGGUAUGCUUAACACAUGCAAGUCGAACGGCAGCACGGUCUGUAGUAAUACAGAUGGGUGGCGAGUGGCGGACGGGUGAGUAAUACGCAGGAAUCUGCCCUAUAGAGGGGGAUAACUCGAGGAAACUCGAGCUAAUACCGCAUAGUCUCUACGGAGUAAAGCUGGGGCAACCUGGCGCUAUAGGAGGAGCCUGCGUCUGCUUAGCUAGUUGGUGGGGUAAAGGCCUACCAAGGCGACGAUCAGUAGGUGGUCUGAGAGGAUGGUGACCCGCACUGGGACUGAGACACGGCCCAGACUCCUACGGGAGGCAGCAGUGGGCAAUAUGGGACAAUGGGGGCAACCCUUAUCCAGCAAUACCGCGUGUGUGAAGAAGGCCUUAGGGUUGUAAAGCACUUUAGGCGGGGAAGAAGGUAUGUAUUUUAAGAGAUAACAUAUUUGACGGUACCCGCAGAAUAAGCACCGGCUAACUCUGUGCCAGCCGCCGCCGUAA
rnacentral:rRNA from 1 species